rnacentral:rRNA from 1 species
UACGUAGGGCGCAAGCGUUAUCCGGAAUUACUGGGCGUAAAGAGCUCGUAGGUGGUUUGUCGCGUUGUUCGUGAAAACUCACAGCUCAACUGUGGGCGUGCGGGCGAUACUGGCAGACUAGAGUACUGCAGGGGAGACUGGAAUUCCUGGUGUAGCGGUGGAAUGCGCAGAUAUCAGGAGGAACACCGGUGGCGAAGGCGGGUCUCUGGGCAGUAACUGACGCUGAGGAGCGAAAGCGUGGGGAGCGAACAGG